ensembl:lncRNA
CGCAGUGGUUAAGCGCGCAUGUUCUACUUCAGCAGCCCAGGGUUCACAGGUUCAGUCCCAGGUGUGGACAUGGCACUGCUUGUCAAGCCAUGCUGUGGAAGCCAUCCCACAUAUGAGGUAGAGGAAGAUGGGCACAGAUGUUAGCUCAGGGCCAGUCUUCCUCAGCAAAAACAGGGGGAUUGGCAGGAGUUAGCUCAGGGCUAAUCUUCCUCAAAAAAAAAAAAAAAGUAGGAGGGAGUAAGGAGAAAUAAACACUCAAACUUCUCUCUCUUCUCAUCCCCUGUUCUCCUGCUACUUUCUUCCAACGGCUUAACCCAACAAAAAUUCAGAGGACAUGGAAGCCUGCGUGAUGAAUUCUAUUUUGGUCAGCUUCUACGGUCACUGGGGAGGAGAGAGAAAGAUGGAUGCAGCAGUUAUGGGCAUCAUCUCCUCUCAAGACCUCAUAAAAGUCAGAAAUUGGAAUUAGGGGCCUUGCUCAAGAUGGAUGAAGAUAUACUUUGAACCAUCUGGAAUUCAAGCAGCUUUGAUUUUAAAUAAGCAUUGUGGAUGUCCCAAUAUUAAUCAGUUGUUUGGAGAGAGGAAGCAAGCCAGGCCUGGAUAGGAUAGACGCUGAGGAAUACUAUCUGGUUACAGAGGAUGACACAGCAGUGGGGAACUCAAUGGUUGACUCCUGGACAUCAAGUUAGGUGAAAAGACUGAGCAUGAGGACCCAGGUCUUGAGAGAAUAACACUUAAAGAACAAGGUGAUAUGUUAGCAGUGGACAUUCUGAAGAUGGUAGCACUUCCCAGAUAUUUUAGAUUGGGAUUUUUUGGGGGAUAACCCUCAAAUAAUGCCAGAUGGGUGACUCUCCAUUAUGCCUGGGCAUGAACAAACAUAGCCAACAUAGCACAAGAAGUUUUAAUUUUCCAUAUGCAUAUAACUCAGCAGAACCUCACAUUGUCACUGCUUUACACAAUAUCUUCAAUGUGAAAAGAGAGUGGAGGCGUAAAAGCUGUUUGCCUUUCCAGAAACCACUCCAGGACACAACUAAGACUAGAAAAAGCCCAAUUCCACCACUACAUCAUAAAAACCUAAGCUGUAUAUUGAGAAGUUCAUACACACCUGGAAAGAAGAUUGUCUGGGAAGGAGAGGGCUCACCUGAAACCUUCAGCUCUUCCCCCUCAGACAAGCCAAAGGCAGCCCUUGGGCUUGGAAAAUAACUCUGAGAUUUCAGUAGAGCUGACUUCUCCCCUGCCUUGACCAACUAGUGGUGUCAAGUGAAUCAGAAUUCCCCUCACGCGACAGCAAUUUCUGAAUCUAAGUUUGUGUAUCUAGAAUAGUAGAUUAUGAAAUUAUACUUUCAGGCUCUAAUAUAUUUCAUUUCUGAUUGCAAAAGAAGUUAUAGAAGAUUACUUCUGCUUGGAACUGCAUCUGAGCUCUUCUAGGGAAGAUGGAAUUUGAUACCACACCAAUUCAUUUACUUCUUUUCAACUGGAUCUUCAGAAUAGCAAUUUUUGUAUUUAUUUAUAAUGUUUAUCAUUUCCCUAAUGCUAAUUUAAUCUCUUUGAAAAAAAAUCUUCAGGCUUGUAAUAAAUGAUACACUGGGAAAUAGGGAAUUGAUAAUACUCACUGAUUUUAAACUCUGACUGAAAUUCCAGUUUAAAUCUACACUUAGGAAUUAUUUAUAUCCUCUUAUGUCAUAUCAAUUUAAAUAAUAUCCCACUCACUGGGGCAUAAAGAAUAAUGCUAAUAUUAAAGUUUCUAUUUAAUAUUUGCUAAUUGCACAUGAAGAGGUUAUAUCAGUUGCAUUUAGGAUGUUUUUAAUUUAAUUUUACUGUAUUGGAAAAUCCAUGAGGUUAAGUCUCCUGAAAUUAUUGCUUUUAAAUAUUGAAUAAUAAGAAUAUUGUCCCCAUGAUGCACCCUGAAUCAUGUGGCCUUGGAUAAGCUUUCUCCCUGUUGCAAAGAGAGAGGAAUAGCAGAGUGCUUAGUUUAAUAUUGUUAAUAAAUAAGAAUGAUCAUACUCCCAUUUUAAAAUACCAAAUCUGUAUUUAAAAAGCUGUUUUUUCAUGAAAUAUGUCCAUCAUCGACAGGGUUAUAGACUUUUUUAGAACCAAAAUCUCAUGAAAAUGAAAUAAAUGUUAUUGCUGCAAAGUUGGCUUCUAUCCUAAAGGGAUGCAUAUAAACCACAGUUAGUGUCCUACCUCAAACUCUUCACUUGAUCUUCGAUUUUUCAAUCGUUCAAUAAACUUCAAUUGAAUGGCUCCAAAGUGAGGCAGAGCAGUGAGGAUGGAAGGAGACUUAGGCCCCAUAUCAAGACACAGCCACACACCCUUGUGAGCUGUGUGCCCUUGGGUACGUUGCCUGACUUCU